AGGCUGGGGAUAACAUUUGGAAACAGAUGCUGAUACCGAAUAAAACUUAAUGUCGCAUGACACAAAGUUAAAAGGCGCUUCGGCGUCACCUAGAGAUGGAUCCGCGGUGCAUGAGUUAGUUGGUGGGGUAAAGGCCUACCAAGACAAUGAGGCAUAGCCGAGUUGAGAGACUGAUCGGCCACAUUGGGACUGAGACACGGCCCAAACUCCAACGGGAGGCUGCAGUAGGGAAUCUUCCACAAUGGGCGAAAGCCUGAUGGAGCAACGCCGCGUGUGUGAUGAAGGCUUUCGGGUCGUAAAGCACUGUUGUAUGGGAAGAACAGCUAGAAUAGGAAAUGAUUUUAGUUUGACGGUACCAUACCAGAAAGGGACGGCUAAAUACGUGCCAGCAGCCGCGGUAAUACGUAUGUCCCGAGCGUUAUCCGGAUUUAUUGGGCGUAAAGCGAGCGCAGACGGUUUAUUAAGUCUGAUGUGAAAGCCCGGAGCUCAACUCCGGAAUGGCAUUGGAAACUGGUUAACUUGAGUGCAGUAGAGGUAAGUGGAACUCCAUGUGUAGCGGUGGAAUGCGUAGAUAUGUGGAAGAACACCAGUGGCCAAGGCGGCUUACUGGACUGCAACUGACGUUGA
rnacentral:rRNA from 1 species